CUCAUAUACAUGUAUAUAUGUAUAUGUAUAUGUAUAUGUAUAUGUAUAUGUAUAUGUAUAUGUAUAUGUAUAUGUGUG